UACUUUAUGAGUAAAAAAACCCUAGCUCCUCUCCGACGAAAAUCUCUCCAGUGCCGCUCAAUCACUCACUAUCUCGCUCUCGCCUCUCUCUCUGUAAGGCUUUCCAUUGCCGCUGUGAAACCCUCACGCGUUAUCUCCUCUCCUUGCCAUCGUUGGUGCUUUGCGACUUCUCCCUCAGUUUGUUGGUGUCUUCCUCUUCAACAAAUCUGGUCGCGUCUUCUCCCUUGGUCAGUCACACACUAAUACUGUACGCUCUUCUCCUUCACUUCAGCAGAUCUUUUCAUAUGGGUUGAUGUUCUCCUCUAAAGUACUUACCAUUCUUGCAAGCUCUUCUCCAAAUACAAGAUGUUCCUGCUGCAGUUAAUGCUUUACAGUUUUAUUCUAAUGCUCAGCCAAGAAUAAGGUCUAGUUAGAUUGUUAAUUCAAUCAUAGUUUCAUGUGCAUUUGGUUUGGAAAAAAUAUCUAUUCUCGGUAUUUAAUUUUGAAAAUGCUACUUAUUGGUUAGUUUUAUUCCUAAUACUUUACAGGACUUCACAAACCCAAAUCUUCCUUCUAGUAAAUUUUGCAAGGAAGAUCUUUUACUAUUAUGUUCUUGUGUUUCUCUUUAUAUCUUGUUGCAAGUAAAUUUUGCUCUUACCAGUUCUAACAUUUUUUAUACGUUAUAGCUCAUGAUUUUCUCCUCUUAAACCAUUCGAUUCAUCUUCUCCAUUUUUGACACCCUCUAGCUUGGUGGCCACCUAUUCUCUUCAUACAAAUGAAGGGGAAAGCUUUGGAUUGAGAAAGGUGGAAUAACAAAACUUUCCAACUUCGUAGCUAAUCUGUUGUUAGUAAAAUAAUAACUAGUUUGAGAUAUUGGGUGCUCUUGAACACUAGCUUGUUUGAUUUUGAGGUUGAAGAUGCAUAAAGUUACAUUAUGUAGUGAUUUUUAUAAAAGAUGCUUGCCUGCUUGUAUGUGUUGCAUUAAACUACUCAAGUAAAAAUGCAGAGUAUGGCUUUAUUCAUGCUUGGAUUUUUGUUUAAAUGGAUGUAGUAUUUAAAUAUUACACACACAUAUAUAAUGCUUUCUUCUUUGACUGCUUAGGUUUAUACAUAUACUUGUUUGCAUUACGUUGAUGUGAGCCUCUAAUAUGAAUCAUAUGAAGAAUGAGUAAAGCUAGCUAAGGUUGGAAUUAUUUUUCCUUUAAAUCAUAGCAAAGAUGUAGAAAAGAUUUGAUGCUAUUCAUGAUUUAUUAUCGUGUUGUGAUGCUUCAAACUAAACAUAGGAUUAUUUGUAACUUAUAGACAUGUCUAUUUCGCAUUGUCUUUGCAUGAGAAACUCAUCUUUGCUAUAAAUAACACAUAAGAAUUGAUUUAAGUACGUGGCAUGAUCAUUUGGCUUGGAAUUCACAUGAAAGACCUACCUUGUGACAAAUAUGCUUGAUCCAAAGUUUGGGUUUCCUUUGCUUGUUACAUAUACUAAACUCUGUUUUAGUUUUAGGCUCUCAAAACCUAUGUAGCAUGGAUUAAAAAAAGUAAACGUAUCUGUAUCCGAUACGAUAUUUGUAGGAUAUUUCUGCAUACGUAUCUCAUAUUCUCACAUCUGUGAUAUGAUUUUUUUUUCAAUAAUUUUUUAUUAUGUCACUUAAAAACUUGAAAAAACACUUGAUAUUUUAAUUAAUUACUAUAAAUAUUCUUAUAUUACUUUAGAAAUUCUUGUUUAAAAAUCAAAAUACCUAUACUUAUAUCAUAAAAUAUUAAAAUAUAUAUUAUAAAUAUCCUUGUACCCAUAUUCUAAAAUUUUGAAAAUUUGCUGUAUCUCUGUAUCAUGCCGUAUCGUAUCAGAUACUUGUACCCGUAUCUAUGCAACCUAGCUCAAAGCCCAAAAGAAAUCAUAUGCCCCUGUUUUUUUCCCUGUUAAAACAUGCAAGUCUCUAUUUGCUUGACAUUUAGGUUUUAUUUUAGCAAGGCAAGCUGUCUCUAUUGUGAGUUUGCAUUAAGUUUGAAGUAAUGGAACAUUCACAUUUACUUUAUUAUGGUUAGAUGUAAAUCAUUUCCCAUCAAAUAAGGCUUUUGAUUGAUAUAUUGAAUGUUCUAAGUUUCUUUUCUUUUUUUGUUGAGAUGGAAGCUAUUGUCUAAGAGGCACUUAAGAAGCAUAGGCAUUUGACUAUAUCUCUGGCCAUGAUGGAGUUGGAAUGACAUUCUCAACUUUUCUAUUGGAUAAGGAAUCACGUACAUUUGUUUAUGUUGUAAUUUUCAUAAAUAUACAAGUUUGAAAUGCUAAUGUUUAAUUAUCUGUGGUUAUAAGAGGAUGUGAAAACGUGGGGGAGUAAGAUUUACAAUAAUGUAAAAAAUAUAUUGUUAACUUUAAGCUUCUAUUGUGCUAAUAACUUUUUAUCAGUAUUCUCAUGGAAUUGGUCUUUGGGAA